GUCUCGGUAGUGUAAGGGAUAGAGCACGGUGCCCGGGAAACAGAAGUACGGGUUCGAAUCCCGUCCGAGACU
rfam:Haemonchus contortus, ISE/inbred ISE, WGS project CAVP01000000 data, contig: Hcontortus_44038